rnacentral:rRNA from 3 species
CGGGCGUUAAGUUGCAGGGUAUAGACCCGAAACCCGGUGAUCUAGCCAUGGGCAGGUUGAAGGUUGGGUAACACUAACUGGAGGACCGAACCGACUAAUGUUGAAAAAUUAGCGGAUGACCUGUGGCUGGGGGUGAAAGGCCAAUCAAACCGGGAGAUAGCUGGUUCUCCCCGAAAGCUAUUUAGGUAGCGCCUCGUGAAUUCAUCUCCGGGGGUAGAGCACUGUUUCGGCUAGGGGGCCAUCCCGGCUUACCAACCCGAUGCAAACUGCGAAUACCGGAGAAUGUUAUCACGGGAGACACACGGCGGGUGCUAACGUCCGUCGUGAAGAGGGAAACAACCCAGACCGCCAGCUAAGGUCCCAAAGUCAUGGUUAAGUGGGAAACGAUGUGGGAAGGCCCAGACAGCCAGGAUGUUGGCUUAGAAGCAGCCAUCAUUUAAAGAAAGCGUAAUAGCUCACUGGUCGAGUCGGCCUGCGCGGAAGAUGUAACGGGGCUAAACCAUGCACCGAAGCUGCGGCAGCGACACUGUGUGUUGUUGGGUAGGGGAGCGUUCUGUAAGCCUGUGAAGGUGUGUCGUGAGGCAUGCUGGAGGUAUCAGAAGUGCGAAUGCUGACAUAAGUAACGAUAAAGCGGGUGAAAAGCCCGCUCGCCGGAAGACCAAGGGUUCCUGUCCAACGUUAAUCGGGGCAGGGUGAGUCGACCCCUAAGGCGAGGCCGAAAGGCGUAGUCGAUGGGAAACGGGUUAAUAUUCCCGUACUUGGUGUUACUGCGAAGGGGGGACGGAGAAGGCUAUGUUGGCCGGGCGACGGUU